rnacentral:rRNA from 1 species
UACGUAGGGGGCAAGCGUUGUCCGGAAUCAUUGGGCGUAAAGCGCGUGUAGGCGGCCCUAUAAGUCCGCUGUGAAAGUCCAGGGCUCAACCCUGGGAUGCCGGUGGAUACUGUCGGGCUCGAGUCCGGAAGAGGCGAGUGGAAUUCCUGGUGUAGCGGUGAAAUGCGCAGAUAUCAGGAGGAACACCAAUGGCGAAGGCAGCUCGCUGGGACGUGACUGACGCUGAGACGCGAAAGCGUGGGGAGCAAACAGG